rnacentral:lncRNA from 1 species
GUACUACGACAGCAGCAAGUAAAUUGUGUGCAAAGUCCAAAGCAGGACACACAACCACCUGCUAGCACUUUAGGCAAACGUGGACUUAAAAUUGGUACUGGCCAGUCACUGCUAAAACGCAAGCAAGAACCUUGUGACCUAAAUCCAAAGGAUUCACAGUCAAUCGUUCCUGGUGGGAUCACAAGAGAGUCCAGCACCACAAGCAUAGGCCA